GGCCUGGCUGGACGGUCCGCCCUUCGGGUGAGUACUGUCUGUGGUCGGGUCCUACCUUCUGGCGAAGCGUCAUGGCCUUAACCGGCCGUGGCGGGGAACCAGGACUUUUACUGUGAAAAAAUUAGAGUGUUCAAAGCAGGCGUAAGCCAUUGAAUAUUACAGCAUGGGAUAAUAGAAUAU
rnacentral:rRNA from 1 species